rnacentral:rRNA from 1 species
CCUACGGGUGACAGCAGUGGGGAAUCUUGCACAAUGGGGGAAACCCUGAUGCAGCGACGCCGCGUGAGUGAAGAAGUAAUUCGUUAUGUAAAGCUCUAUCAGCAGGGAAGAAAAUGACGGUACCUGACUAAGCAGCCCCGGCUAACUACGUGCCAGCAGCCGCGGUAAUACGUAGGGGGCAAGCGUUCUCCGGAUUUACGGGGGGUAAAGGGAGCGUAGACGGCAGUGCAAGUCUGGAGUGAAAGGCGGGGGCUCAACCCCCGGGAUGCACGGGAAACUGUACGGCUGGAGUGCAGAAGAGGUGAGUGGAAUUCCUAGUGUAGCGGUGAAAUGCGUAGAUAUUAGGAGGAACACCAGUGGCGAAGGCGGCUUACUGGACUGUAACUGACGUUGAGGCUCGAAAGCGUGGGGAGCAAACAGGAUUAGAUACCCUAGUAGUC